CGCGAAUUCGCCCUUCGGGGUGCAGCAGGCGCGAAAACUUUACAAUGCCGGCAACGGCGAUAAGGGAACCUCGAGUGCCAGGUUACAAAUCUGGCUGUCGUGAUGCCUAAAAAGCAUUGCAUAGCAAGGGCCGGGCAAGACCGGUGCCAGCCGCCGCGGUAACACCGGCGGCUCGAGUGGUAACCGUUAUUAUUGGGUCUAAAGGGUCUGUAGCCGGCCGGGUAAGUCUCUUGGGAAAUCUGGCAACUUAACUGUCAGGCUUUCAGGAGAUACUGCCUGGCUCGAGGCCGGGAGAGGUGAGAGGUACUUCAGGGGUAGGGGUGAAAUCUUGUAAUCCUUGAAGGACCACCAGUGGCGAAGGCGUCUCACCAGAACGGACCUGACGGCAAGGGACGAAAGCUAGGGGCACGAACCGGAUUAGAUACCCGGGUAGUCCUAGCCGUAAACGAUACUCGCUAGGUGUCGGCCACGGUGCGACCGUGGUCGGUGCCGUAGGGAAGCCGUGAAGCGAGCCACCUGGGAAGUACGGCCGCAAGGCUGAAACUUAAAGGAAUUGGCGGGGGAGCAC
rnacentral:rRNA from 1 species